rnacentral:ncRNA from 2 species
GAUAUAGUUGUUACCAUCGGUUCUGAUGGGGAGCAGCCAAUGGCUAACACCUCGCUGCACUAUGAGACGUAAGGGGGAAAGUCUGGUGUAAGUCCGGCACUGUCCCGCAACUGUGAGCCAAAAUAUGGUAAGUCAGAAUGCCCACCGAUGGAAUUACAUUUAU